rnacentral:rRNA from 1 species
AGCAGCCGCGGUAAUUCCAGCUCCAAUAGCGUAUAUUAAAGUUGUUGCAGUUAAAAAGCUCGUAGUUGAAUUUCGGGACUAAUAUGUCGGUCGUACUUUGUACGUACUAGCAUUAUUGGUUUCUCCCUUCUGACGAACCACGAUGUCAUUAAUUUGGUGUCAUGGGAAAUCAGGACUGUUACUUUGAAAAAAUUAGAGUGUUUAAAGCAAGCUCGCGCUUGAAUACAUUAGCAUGGAAUAAUGAAAUAGGACGUUUGAUUCUAUUUUGUUGGUUUCUAGGAUCGACGUAAUGAUUAAUAGGGAUAGUUGGGGGCAUUAGUAUUCAAUUGUCAGAGGUGAAAUUCUUGGAUUUAUUGAAGACUAACUACUGCGAAAGCAUUUGCCAAGGAUGUUUUCAUUAAUCAAGAACGAAAGUUAGGGGAUCGAAGACGAUCAGAUACCGUCGUAGUCUUAACCAUAAACUAUGCGACUAGGGAUCGGAUGAUGUUAAUUUUUAAUGACUCACUCGGCGCCUUAAC